GACGAACGCUGUCGGCGUGCUUAACACAUGCAAGUCGAACGAAGUGGCGCACGGGUGAGUAACGCGUAAUCAACCUGCCCUUCAGAGGGGGACAACAGUUGGACACGACUGCUACUACCGCAUACUGAAGGAGGGGAUUGCGUCUGAGUAGCUAGUGGGAGGGGUAAAGGCCCACCAAGGCGAUGAUCAGUAGCCGGUCUGAGAGGAUGAACGGCCACAUUGGGACUGAGACACGGCCCAGACUCCUACGGGAGGCAGCAGUGGGGAAUCGUCCGCAAUGGACGAAAGUCUGACGGAGCAACGCCGCGUGAGUGAUGACGUCCUUCGGGUGGUAAAGCUCUGUUAAUCGGGACGCGGGACCGGAAUAGAAAGCCACGGCUAACUACGUGCCAGCAGGCGCGGUAAUAC
rnacentral:rRNA from 1 species